UACGUAGGCAGCAAGCGUUGUUCGGAGUUACUGGGCGUAAAGAGUGCGUAGGUGGUGCCCUAAGUCUGUUGUGAAAUCUCCCGGCUUAACUGGGAGGGUGCGGUGGAAACUGGGGUGCUUGAGUGUGGGAGAGGUAAGCGGAAUUCCUGGUGUAGCGGUGAAAUGCGUAGAUAUCAGGAGGAACACCAGAGGCGAAGGCGGGCUACUGGGCCGAUACUGACGCUGAUGCGCGAAAGCCAGGGGAGCAAACGGG
rnacentral:rRNA from 1 species